UACGUAGGGUGCAAGCGUUGUCCGGAAUUAUUGGGCGUAAAGAGCUCGUAGGCGGUCUGUCGCGUCGGCUGUGAAAACUCGGGGCUCAACUCCGAGCUUGCAGUCGAUACGGGCAGGCUAGAGUUCGGCAGGGGGAGACUGGAAUUCCUGGUGUAGCGGUGAAAAUGCGCAGAUAUCAGGAGGAACACCGAUGGCGAAGGCAGGUCUCUGGGUCAAGAUUGACGCUCAUGCACGAAAAGCGUGGGGGAGCAAACAGG
rnacentral:rRNA from 1 species